rnacentral:rRNA from 1 species
UACGUAGGUGGCAAGCGUUAUCCGGAAUUACUGGGCGUAAAGCGCACGCAGGCGGUCUUGUAAGUUUGACGUGAAGCACCCGGCUUAACUGGGAGAGGUCGUUGAAGACUGCAAGACUUGAGGAAAUGAGAGGGGUGUAGAAUUCCCGGUGUAGUGGUGGAAUGCGUAGAUAUCGGGGGGAAUACCAGUGGCGAAAGCGGCACCCUAGCAUUUUUCUGACGCUCAUGUGCGAAAGCGUGGGGAGCGAACGGG